UUGAAGAGUUUGAUCAUGGCUCAGAUUGAACGCUGGCGGCAGGCCUAACACAUGCAAGUCGAACGGUAACAGGAAGAAGCUUGCUUCUUUGCUGACGAGUGGCGGACGGGUGAGUAAUGUCUGGGAAACUGCCUGAUGGAGGGGGAUAACUACUGGAAACGGUAGCUAAUACCGCAUAACGUCGCAAGACCAAAGAGGGGGGACCUUCGGGCCUCUUGCCAUCGGAUGUGCCCAGAUGGGAUUAGCUAGUAGGUGGGGUAACGGCUCACCUAGGCGACGAUCCCUAGCUGGUCUGAGAGGAUGACCAGCCACACUGGAACUGAGACACGGUCCAGACUCCUACGGGAGGCAGCAGUGGGGAAUAUUGCACAAUGGGCGCAAGCCUGAUGCAGCCAUGCCGCGUGUAUGAAGAAGGCCUUCGGGUUGUAAAGUACUUUCAGCGGGGAGGAAGGGAGUAAAGUUAAUACCUUUGCUCAUUGACGUUACCCGCAGAAGAAGCACCGGCUAACUCCGUGCCAGCAGCCGCGGUAAUACGGAGGGUGCAAGCGUUAAUCGGAAUUACUGGGCGUAAAGCGCACGCAGGCGGUUUGUUAAGUCAGAUGUGAAAUCCCCGGGCUCAACCUGGGAACUGCAUCUGAUACUGGCAAGCUUGAGUCUCGUAGAGGGGGGUAGAAUUCCAGGUGUAGCGGUGAAAUGCGUAGAGAUCUGGAGGAAUACCGGUGGCGAAGGCGGCCCCCUGGACGAAGACUGACGCUCAGGUGCGAAAGCGUGGGGAGCAAACAGGAUUAGAUACCCUCUGGUAGUCCACGCCGUAAACGAUGUCGACUUGGAGGUUGUGCCCUUGAGGCGUGGCUUCCGGAGCUAACGCGUUAAGUCGACCGCCUGGGGAGUACGGCCGCAAGGUUAAAACUCAAAUGAAUUGACGGGGGCCCGCACAAGCGGUGGAGCAUGUGGUUUAAUUCGAUGCAACGCGAAGAACCUUACCUGGUCUUGACAUCCACAGAACUUUCCAGAGAUGGAUUGGUGCCUUCGGGAACUGUGAGACAGGUGCUGCAUGGCUGUCGUCAGCUCGUGUUGUGAAAUGUUGGGUUAAGUCCCGCAACGAGCGCAACCCUUAUCCUUUGUUGCCAGCGGUCCGGCCGGGAACUCAAAGGAGACUGCCAGUGAUAAACUGGAGGAAGGUGGGGAUGACGUCAAGUCAUCAUGGCCCUUACGACCAGGGCUACACACGUGCUACAAUGGCGCAUACAAAGAGAAGCGACCUCGCGAGAGCAAGCGGACCUCAUAAAGUGCGUCGUAGUCCGGAUUGGAGUCUGCAACUCGACUCCAUGAAGUCGGAAUCGCUAGUAAUCGUGGAUCAGAAUGCCACGGUGAAUACGUUCCCGGGCCUUGUACACACCGCCCGUCACACCAUGGGAGUGGGUUGCAAAAGAAGUAGGUAGCUUAACCUUCGGGAGGGCGCUUACCACUUUGUGAUUCAUGACUGGGGUGAAGUCGUAACAAGGUAACCGUAGGGGAACCUGCGGUUGGAUCACCUCCUU
rnacentral:rRNA from 1 species